UAUGUCUCUAAUCAUGUUUCCUUCUUUUUUGUACAAUAAAGGCUUGCUUCUGCAAACAGUGAUUCUCUGUUAGUUAAGUCUUUGAUGUUUUAUUAUGUCUGAAUUUACAAACUUAGUAAAGAAGUAACUGCAUAAGGAAUAUAGUGGAGUGCUGUCUAAACUUAUAUUUAGAGAGCCAUACAACCGAGGAUUUCAUACUACAGAUAGUGAUUUAUAAAACAUACUAACUUUGAAAAAUAGGCUGAUUAUAGGAAUAUGUACGCCAUUUCUGAUAGACUGCAACUUUCCGUUUAUAAAAUGUUGGCUGCUUGCAUUUAUAUUCCAUACAACCAUUGUUUAAAAUCUGGUAGCUUUUGGAUAUUGUACUUGAUCUAUAUUUGGACAGAGAAUAUUCUUUAAAGCUGGAAGACAUGACAGUACUCUUAUGUAGCAUUUACUGCCUGAACAUUCUUUUUCACUCACUUGGGAUAACUAACCUACACCUC